rnacentral:tRNA from 1 species
CGGGAGGUUGCGGCGAGUACGCUCGUUGCCUCGGGCGCAAGAGGUCUCCGGUUCAAAUUCGGGCACCCCAACCA